GAUGAACGCUGGCGGCGUGCCUAAUACAUGCAAGUCGAGCGAACAGACGAGGAGCUUGCUCCUCUGAUGUUAGCGGCGGACGGGUGAGUAACACGUGGAUAACCUACCUAUAAGACUGGGAUAACUUCGGGAAACCGGAGCUAAUACCGGAUAACAUGUUGAACCUCAUGGUUCAACAGUGAAAGACGGUCUUGCUGUCACUUAUAGAUGGAUCCGCGCCGCAUUAGCUAGUUGGUAAGGUAACGGCUUACCAAGGCAACGAUGCGUAGCCGACCUGAGAGGGUGAUCGGCCACACUGGAACUGAGACGCGGUCCAGACUCCUACGGGAGGCAGCAGUAGGGAAUCUUCCGCAAUGGGCGAAAGCCUGACGGAGCAACGCCGCGUGAGUGAAGAAGGUCUUCGGAUCGUAAAACUCUGUUAUUAGGGAAGAACAAAUGUGUAAGUAACUAUGCACGUCUUGACGGUACCUAAUCAGAAAGCCACGGCUAACUACGUG
rnacentral:rRNA from 1 species